AUAUGUACAUGCAUAUAUAUUUCUGAUUUCGUUGUUCAUUCAUACGAGAUAGAUAUACUACUCGUACGUUCUUCAGAACCUGAGUGUGUGUAUAAAGUAAGCCUCCAAUGCCACUUCAUAAGCGCAGACAAACAAUCACUUCAAAGUGAAAUAAAAGCGAAAUAAAGCAGUCUGAAAGAACCGAAAGCACAGAUCAGAAUAUGUAACUGAAAAGCAAAAGGCUCUCUCAUGUUUAUAGAAAAUAUAUACUGCGAGUGCCACACGUAGUGAAGGCGUACUAGCUAUGCGUAUUGAAAGGCGUCCGCCAUCGCGUAUGAGUGACUGUGGAAAAUUGCGCUACUGAAAGCUUAUU